UACGGGGGGGGGCAAGCGUUGUUCGGAAUUACUGGGCGUAAAGGGCUCGUAGGCGGCCAACUAAGUCGGAUGUGAAAUCCCCAGGCUCAACCUGGGAACUGCAUCCGAUACUGGAUGGCUUGAAUUCGGGAGAGGGAUGCAGAAUUCCAGGUGUAGCGGUGAAAUGCGUAGAUAUCUGGAGGAAUACCGGUGGCGAAGGCGGCAUCCUGGACCGACAUUGACGCUGAGGAGCGAAAGCCAGGGGAGCAAACGGGG
rnacentral:rRNA from 1 species